rnacentral:ncRNA from 1 species
AAAAAGGGCAAACCGUCCGAAAGGACGGGACGCAAAGCCAGGGAGCUAAAGCGGGAGACCGCCAGGCUGGCCCGGCCGCCA